rnacentral:rRNA from 1 species
UACAGAGGGUGCAAGCGUUAAUCGGAAUUACUGGGCGUAAAGGGUGCGUAGGCGGCGCGGUAAGUCGGGUGUGAAAUCUCGGAGCUUAACUCCGAAACUGCAUUCGAUACUGCCGUGCUUGAGGACUGGAGAGGAGACUGGAAUUUACGGUGUAGCGGUGAAAUGCGUAGAUAUCGUAAGGAAGACCAGUGGCGAAGGCGGGUCUCUGGACAGUUCCUGACGCUGAGGCACGAAGGCCAGGGGAGCAAACGGG